ACUCUGGCGGCGUUCCCAAGGAACUUUUAACCCUGCGAAGUUUGGUAUCGUUCGCGCACAACGCUAAAGGAAAAACAUAUGAAGAUAUUUUUUUGUGUUUGUUUCGAUGUAUCGCCGCACAUCAACGCGAUAGUCUUGGGGAUAAGAAGAGGUGGCAUAAGUACAGACAUAUUGAGAAGGAAACGUUUGCGUUGGCACGUAAAUACGGUGUAAACCCCAAAACCUUCCUUGGUGUUGAUAUAAGUGACCUCG